GUCCGGGUAUCACUAACUAGGGUACGGGCUGGGUCCGGGUAUCACUAACUAGGGUACGGGCUGGGUCCGGGUAUCACUAACUAGGGUACGGGCUGGGUCCGGGUAUCACUAACCAGGGUACGGGCUGGGUCCGGGUAUCACUAACUAGGGUACGGGCUGGGUCCGGGUAUCACUAACUAGGGUACGGGCUGGGUCCGGGUAUCACUAACUAGGGUACGGGCUGGGUCCGGGUAUCACUAACCAGGGUACGGGCUGGGUCCGGGUAUCACUAACCAGGGUACGGGCUGGGUCCGGGUAUCACUAACAUUUUGAGGCGGAGCCAUUGACUACGUUCUAAGGUCAUAUUUAAGGUCAUGUUGUCCGAAGUGCUUCAACCUCGUCAGAUAGAAGAC
ensembl:lncRNA